rnacentral:rRNA from 1 species
AUACUCCUGACUGACCGAUAGUGAACCAGUACCGUGAGGGAAAGGCGAAAAGAACCCCGGCGAGGGGAGUGAAAAAGAACCUGAAACCGUGUACGUACAAGCAGUGGGAGCACAGGUUUACCUGUGUGACUGCGUACCUUUUGUAUAAUGGGUCAGCGACUUAUAUUCUGUAGCAAGGUUAACCGCAUAGGGGAGCCGGAGGGAAACCGAGUCUUAAUUGGGCGUUAAGUUGCAGGGUAUAGACCCGAAACCCGGUGAUCUAGCCAUGGGCAGGUUGAAGGUUGGGUAACACUAACUGGAGGACCGAACCGACUAAUGUUGAAAAAUUAG